rnacentral:rRNA from 1 species
GCUUGUCUCAAAGAUUAAGCCAUGCAUGUCUAAGUAUAAGCCUUUAUAUGGUGAGACUGCGAAUGGCUCAUUAAAUCAGAAACUGUUUAUUUGAUAGUGCCUACUACAUGGAUACCUGUAGUAAUUCUAGAGCUAAUACAUGCUAAAAACCUCGACUUCGGAAGGGGUGUAUUUAUUAGAUAAAAAACCAAUGCCCUUCGGGGCUCCUUGGUGAAUCAUAAUAACUUAACGAAUCGCAUGGCCUUGCGCCGGCGAUGGUUCAUUCAAAUUUCUGCCCUAUCAACUUUCGAUGGUAGGAUAGUGGCCUACCAUGGUAUCAACGGGUAACGGGGAAUUAGGGUUCGACUCCGGAGAGGGAGCCUGAGAAACGGCUACCACAUCCAAGGAAGGCAGCAGG